CGGCGGACGGGUGAGUAACACGUGGAUAACCUACCUAUAAGACUGGGAUAACUUCGGGAAACCGGAGCUAAUACCGGAUAAUAUAUUGAACCGCAUGGUUCAAUAGUGAAAGACGGUUUUGCUGUCACUUAUAGAUGGAUCCGCGUCGCAUUAGCAGUUGGUAAGGUAACGGCUUACCAAGGCAACGAUGCGUAGCCGACCUGAGAGGGUGAUCGGCCACACUGGAACUGAGACACGGUCCAG
rnacentral:rRNA from 1 species